UUCCACAAGAUUAUACACACAGCGAAUACCAGGCAUCACUGUGGAUUUCUCUCACUUGUUUUGAUGUGACCAUUCCUCCAAAAACACUUGGUUCUAAGACACUAUACCAAAUUCAGAGAUUAGCAACUGGAAGUCGCAACAGUCGCAUCACUGUGGAUUUCUCUCACUUGUUUUGAAAUCUGACUCGGCUAUUUCUCAUCUUAUCGACCAGAGUCACUAGACCUCUCAUUCUCUAUCUUAUUCUCCUCUCUCUUUCUCUCUCUUUAUCUCAGUUUCUAAGGAGUUUGUUGACGAAUCAUUCAAAUAAAAACUACAGAAAUUGAAAGUUAGGGUUCGAGGUGAUGUUGUGAGAUGAAUCGCGGUUUUGCUGCAAGAAUCAAAAGUUGUCGUGUGUACGAGUUGAAAGUUAGGGUUUGAGAUUGAAAGUUAUGGUGGAAAAGAUAGAAAUUAAAAAUUAUGGUUUGAGGUGAUAUUCUGAGAUGAAUCGGGGUUUUGCUGCAAGAAUUGAGAUUAAAUGGGUUUGCAGAGAAUGAUGUUGGUGGUUGGAUUUGUGGAGUUUCAAUGUUAGGGUUUGAGAUUUGAAAGUUAGGGUUUGAGAUUUGUGGAUUUUGAAAGUUAGGGUUGGAUUUGAGAUUGAAAGAUAGGGUUUAAGAUUUGUGGAGAUGGCUGGCAUUUGUAGAACAAUGGUUUGCAGGGAUUGUGUUGUAAGACAGUUGAGUGUUGGAAAUGGUUGGCUCAUAGACAGCUAGGAAAUGGGUGUUGGGUUACUGUGGCUGUGAAGUUGGGUUUGAAGUAGACUUGCAUUUGUCAGAGUUAAGGUCAAGUGAUGCAGAGAUGGUGUUGAGUAUCAGAGCAGGUGUCAGUGGUGGAUACUGGUGGUCAGUGGUCGGAGGUAUCAACACUUAAAUCAGGUAAUUCAGAUAGCCACAUUUGCGGCAUUUUCUUAUAAUCCAUUCAUUGGUUCUGCAACAACAGAGGAGAAGGACACUUUUCGGGUUUAUUCAGAUGAAACAAAUAAAUACAUCAUUAUGGUCCCUGAAGGUGAGAGUUAUUUGCAAACCAGUAGUAACAAAGUGAGUAUCAUCCCGCGAGGCCGUAUGGAGGAGGUAGACACUUAAGAAACUCCAAUUUGGCUUAAGGGGAUUCGUAGUGGUUACCCAUGAGGAGAAAACAUCGGAAACAAUUGGUAACUAUAAAAAUUAGUACUAAUCCCACACUUGUGUUUGUGCAGAUUGGAAAAGUGAUCAAUGAGAGGGCAAUGGACUCCUAGCUUUAACUGGAUUUUACCCACAAGUUGCUUCUGAAUCCAAUGUUAGUGUUUUUAUCACCUUGCUUGGUGCUGACUUCACGAGAAUGGAAUAUUUCAGCAAAGUUGAAGAGUUUGCGGAGACUCUGGUUAGUUGACUAGAUAGAAGUUGGCAAAGGCCUCCAGGUGCAGCCGCAAAACUUAUCGCUUGCAAAAUUCUCAAAUGGGUUUGAUAUCGAACAUACACCAUAAAAACCAAGUGAGAGUUGCAGACACAUAUUUUCCAAGAUCGGCAUGGCUUACAACGGCUAUUACAAAGAUUGUUUACUGUAACAUGGCAGUUUAUGGAAGAAGAAACAGGCAAAUACAGUUCAAAUGUUCAGAAGACCGUAUCAUCCUUCAAGUUUACUUGAUUAACAUGGCGAGGUUUUUUAAUGUACAGAAGCAGAGCUGAAUUUAAUAGUUCAAGUUCGACUGGAGAAGUUUGUGGCACUGGUUGCUUUGGGAUUAAAAUCAGGUGGCACUCUUCAACAGCGUGCAGAGAGGCUUUUCCUGAUCAAUGGUGCAAGAGAAAUUGGUGCACCUAAAGAAAGCUAAGGAUAAACUUGAAAAAUGAGUGGUCUCUCAUGCUUGAUGCUGGAGACUAGGCAGGAAUUUUAACGAAUCUCCUUGGCAAAGUUCAAGGUUCUUCUCUAUGUUCAUCAUUUUAUUUUAUCUGAAAUACAAAGAAUACACUUGUCGUUCUUUUGAUACUACAGACUUUGUAUAUCAUUAGGACUUAAGAAAUGUUUUAGAUAUACUUUGAGAUGUGUUUAUUACUUUGUGUGUGUAUGGAGUUCAUCAUGGUAUGUUAUGGUGGUGAAUUAACUCUAAGAAAGAAUACUUUUUUGAUAGUUUUGUUGGAUUAAUUUUAUUUCCAAAUUUGUAUGUC